AAUGUAAUACUAUUCGAUUAUACACUUUCAGGUAAGAAAUCUUUGUAGUUUUCUGUACCCUCGUGAAAACUGAAGAGAUUUUUUACAGGAUUUCCACAGUAUCGCAUUGAUC
rnacentral:pre_miRNA from 16 species